rnacentral:rRNA from 1 species
AGUGAACGCUGGCGGUAGGCCUAACACAUGCAAGUCGAACGGCAGCACAGUAAGCGCUCGCUCUUACGGGUGGCGAGUGGCGGACGGGUGAGGAAUACAUCGGAAUCUACUUUUUCGUGGGGGAUAACGUAGGGAAACUUACGCUAAUAUCGUAUACGAACUACGGGUGAAAGCAGGGGAUCUUCGGAUCUUGCGCGAUUGAAUGAGCCGAUGUCGGAUUAGCUAGUUGGCGGGGGAAAGGCCCACCAAGGCGACGACCCGUAGCUGGUCUGCGAGGAUGAUCAGCCACACUGGAACUGAGACACGGUCCAGACUCCUACGGGAGGCAGCAGUUGGGAAUAUUGGAGAAUGGGCGGAAGCCUGGUCCGGCCAUACCGGGUGGGGGAAGAAGGCCUUCCGGUUGGUAAGCCCUUUUGUUGGGAAAGAAAAGCAGCAGGUUAAUACCCCGCUGUUCUGACGGUACCCAAAGAAUAAGGACCGGCUAAAUUCGUG